UACGACAACCACCCACCCGCCGCGCCAGCCAGCCCACACCAGUACCGCCUGCAUCCCGCCGACCCUCCGGCCCCCAGCGAGCCGCUGUCCCUCCCUCUCCUGGGUCCGCCAGCCCCGGCGACGCGCGCCGCCGCCCACCAACUAGGAUCCCGCCACUUCAACUUGUUCUGAACGGGAGCUACAGUGCUGGCCGGCUCUGCUCCUGCGGGACUGCACUCAAUCAUGGCAGCUCCGGCUGAACUUCAGGAAGAUAUAACUAGUGUGUAAGUUGUAUGUAGUCAGAUAAGUGGGCUAGCGCAGUUGGAUGUUGCAACUUACUCCCUCCGUUUCAAAUUACUUGUCGCUGAAAUGGAUGUAUCUAGAACUGAAAUACAUCUAGAUACAUCCAUACGUGCGACAAGUAAUUCCGAACGGAGGAAGUAGUUUCGUAUAAGAGGGUCUGGGUUCGACUCUCUUUCAAUGCCUUCUUUUUUUUUGCCUAUUUUAAACUACAGGCCCGAAAAAAACUGGAGAAGAUGGGAUCCAAGGAGGGUGGUUGCUCGGGAGGAGGUGGGAUCGAAGGGAGAAGAGUCGUGUGGUACUUUUAGCAAUGUGGCACACGUGUGCCAAAUAUCACAGUCAUACCCCUUGGUUCCUAGAAAAACAUCCAUCGGUUUCCUAGAAAAACAUCCAUCGGUGUUCUAUUCCUUGCUUUGAGAUUUGCACUGUGCAUUUCGAACCCUUCUCUCUUCGCCAGCGAACGCUUCUCGAGAUAAGGUGUAUGUCACAAUGGUGCAAAUAUUCACCACGUUCACAUGAACACUUUGAACUAGCAGUAAAACUUUGAGAACA